rnacentral:rRNA from 1 species
ACGUAGGUGGCGAGAGUUGUCCGGAAUUACUGGGUGUAAAGGGAGCGCAGGCGGGGAGACAAGUCAGCUGUGAAAACUAUCGGCUUAACUGAUAGGGUGCAGGUGAAAAUGUUUAUCUUGAGUGGAGCAGAGGCGGGGGGAAUUCCGAGGGUAGCGGUGAAAUGCGUAUAUUUUCGGAGGAACACCAGUGGCGAAGGCGGCCUACUGGUAUUUAACCGACGCUGAGGCUCGAAAGUGUGUGGAGCAAACAG